CGUGAGCAAUCUGCCCAUAUCUGGGGGAUAACAGUUGGAAACGACUGAUAAUACCGCAUAACAUGGUUUGAAGGCAUCUUCUUUCCAUCAAAGAUUUAUCGGAUAUGGAUGAGCUCGCGUCUGAUUAGCUUGUUGGUGAGGUAACGGCUCACCAAGGCGACGAUCAGUAGCCGACCUGAGAGGGUGAUCGGCCACAUUGGAACUGAGACACGGUCCAAACUCCUACGGAAGGCAGCAG
rnacentral:rRNA from 1 species